rnacentral:other from 1 species
UAUAUCCUGGGAUGUUCGAUACUCCUGUUAUUUUGAACCUACAACAUUUAUACGGGUUACCAAAUUUAUAAGUGGAUGUCAAGCCGUCUUGAACGGAAGACAAAAGUUUAUAUGAGGUUUCCCACCUAGCUAAGCUAGGAAUCAAAAUGCAGGAACCGGCAUUUUGGGUAUUAU